AUUGAACGCUGGCGGCAGGCCUAACACAUGCAAGUCGAACGAGUUGCGGACGGGUGACCAAUGUCUGGGAAACUGCCUGAUGGAGGGGGAGAACUACUGGAAACGGUAGCUAAUACCGCAUACCACCGGAUGUCCCCAAAUGGGAUUAGCUAGUAGGUGGGGUAAAGGCUCACCGAGGCGACGAUCCCUAGCCGGUCUGAGAGUGUGACCAGCCACACUGGACCUAGACACCAGUACCGACGCGUACGGAAGGCAGCAGUGGGGAAUAUUGACCAGUGGGCACAGGCCUGAUGCAGCCCUGCCGCGUGAAAGAAGAAGGCCGUCGGGUUGUAAGGUACUUUCGGCGGGGAUGCAUUACCCGCACGAGGAGCACCAGCUAACUCCGUGCCAGCGGCCGCGGUAAUAC
rnacentral:rRNA from 1 species